rnacentral:rRNA from 1 species
ACUCCUACGGGAGGUAGCAGUGGGGAAUAUUGCACAAUGGGCGCAAGCCUGAUGCAGCCAUGCCGCGUGUAUGAAGAAGGCCUUCGGGUUGUAAAGUACUUUCAGCAGUGAGGAAGGUGGGUAUGUUAAUAGCAUACUCAUUGACGUUAGCUGCAGAAGAAGCACCGGCUAACUCCGUGCCAGCAGCCGCGGUAAUACGGAGGGUGCGAGCGUUAUCCGGAUUUAUUGGGUUUAAAGGGUCCGUAGGCGGGUUAAUAAGUCAGUGGUGAAAUCCCAUCGCUUAACGAUGGAACUGCCAUUGAUACUGUUAGUCUUGAAUGAGGGUGCAGUGGUUGGAAUGUGUAGUGUAGCGGUGAAAUGCAUAGAUAUUACACAGAACACCGAUUGCGAAGGCAGAUCACUAACCCUAAAUUCGACGCUGAGGGACGAAAGCGUGGGGAGCGAACAGGAUUA